CUAUUCCUACGGGAGGCAGCAGUGAGGAAUAUUGGUCAAUGGGCGCGAGCCUGAACCAGCCAAGUCGCGUGAGGGAUGACGGCCCUAUGGGUUGUAAACCUCUUUUGUCGGGGAGCAAAUUCCGUUACGUGUAACGGAGUCGAGAGUACCCGAAGAAAAAGCAUCGGCUAACUCCGUGCCAGCAGCCGCGGUAAUACGGAGGAUGCGAGCGUUAUCCGGAUUUAUUGGGUUUAGAGGGUGCGUAGGCGGACUGUCAAGUCAGCGGUAAAAUACGGGGGCUCACCGUCCGCCCGCCAUUGUAACUG
rnacentral:rRNA from 1 species